rnacentral:tRNA from 1 species
UCAAAAAAAGUUCUUAGGUAAUACUAACUUUGGGAGUUAGAGGGUAGCGGAAUUUUGCUAUUUUUGA